GACGAACCGAGCGAACGUUGUUCGGAAUCACUGGGCUUAAAGGGCGCGUAGGCGGGUUUGCAAGUCCGGGGUGAAAUCCCACGGCUCAACCGUGGAACUGCUGGGCAUACUGGACAUCUCGAGGCACUCAGGGGCGAGCGGAACAAGUGGUGGAGCGGUGAAAUGCGUAGAUAUCACUUGGAACGCCAAUGGUGAAGACAGCUCGCUGGGGGUGUCCUGACGCUGAGGCGCGAAAGCCAGGGGAGCGAACGGG
rnacentral:rRNA from 1 species